GUUCGCCUCUUGCCAGUGCAGUCGUGCUCUCCACGUUGCCUUAUACUCUGCAACGUUUCAACGUCUCACACGUAUUGCAGAAACUGGUGCGAUUCGGCCACCGUCGAAUCGUCGACUCGUCGACUUUUGGAAACCACUGAACUCGUCCCGGUUGGGAUAUCGUGGCGGCAUUUCUAUGUGAGAAUGGCGGCGCGGGCAAGGGGUGACGCAGCUUGCGAGAGGGAGCGGCUUACGUCGGUGGCGAAUACCGUGAUAGAAGGUGUACCGGGAAUAUCGCACGCGAGGUAGUAAGGUGCAGAGGGCGGGUAAAACUUACAGCCUGGAUUCCGGCGUUUCUUACGAUGGACAGCUCAUUUUACACACCCCAUUUUGUUGUUGCACGAGAAUACAAUCGCGGAUGAUGAGUUGAAACAAAGAGAUUUCAAGAAUGUAAUCCCAGAAAACUGACCAGUACAGUCUGACCGGUCCAAUUAUAUCAACGAUCGCUUGUCGGAUCUCAACGUCUUUGCUCGACUGGAUAAGGCACGAACACAAGAGCUAUCGGAGCAACACGCAUAUACAUACACAGAUGCAACACCCACAUGAGAAGGAGCGUGUGGGUAUACAUGCGGUGUUCUCUGCGACGAAGACACGCGUGUACCUGUCUCAAACACCACGGAAUAUAAAUUGCAACCACGUCAAGCACGCGAAGCUACGCGAAAGAUGGAGAAAGGUAAAAAUCUGUAUAUGUGUACGUGGGUGUGCGUCCGUGGAAAGGUGUAUAGGGGAUAAAAAGAGAGGCAAUCUGCGUCCCCGCCUGAAACAUGGAACGUAUCGGUCUGCCGGAGACUUGCUGGACACGUUGAGUCCUUCAGCGAAUCCGCUCAAGUAACUUUUUGGCGAACGAAGGAGAAGGACAGCGGGUCGAGUAGCAAAAAGAAGAAAUUGGGCGGCGGUCGGUGGGUGCUGAUCCUGGAACCCAUUUGGGGAGACGCCCUAGUGAUUGGGGAAGAGCACCUAGUGCGCCAUCUCCGGGAAGAUAAAAGCAAUUCGCGAACCCUGGGCUGUAUAUCGGUAUCUUUUGCCUUGGCAAACGACGUCAAGAAUCGGGAUAUCAAAAUCUCCUAGGAACUACUUAGAUCGAUGUGUAAAUCAAGAUAUAGAGAGAGAUUUAUGUUAGAGAUAAAUUUAUACAGAAGAAAAAUUAAUAAGAUCUCAAACAAGAUUACAUAAACAUACUUAAAUACCUAAAUCUUCAUAAGAAUUAGAUAAUUUCGCGCGUGCCCUUUAUAUAUGUUUAUUCAAUAAAAUAUAUUUAUUUUAA